GAGUUUGAUCCUGGCUCAGAUUGAACGCUGGCGGCAUGCUUUACACAUGCAAGUCGAACGGGUGUAGCAAUACACUAGUGGCGAACGGGUGAGUAAUGCAUCGGAACGUACCGUGUAGUGGGGGAUAACCCGGCGAAAGUCGGAUUAAUACCGCAUGAGAUCUACGGAUGAAAGCAGGGGAUCGUAAGACCUUGCGCUAUAUGAGCGGCCGAUGUCGGAUUAGCUAGUUGGUGGGGUAAAGGCCUACCAAGGCAACGAUCCGUAGCGGGUCUGAGAGGAUGAUCCGCCACACUGGGACUGAGACACGGCCCAGACUCCUACGGGAGGCAGCAGUGGGGAAUUUUGGACAAUGGGCGCAAGCCUGAGUCCCAGCCAUGCCGCGUGAGUGAAGAAGGCCUUCGGUUGUAAG
rnacentral:rRNA from 1 species